GCUGGGUGUGGUGGCGUGCAUCUGUAGUCCCAGCUACUGAGGAGGCUGAGGCAGGAGAAUUGCUUGAACCCAGGAGGCAGAGGUUGCAGUGAGCUGAGAUCGCGCCACUGCACUCCAUCCUGGGCGACAGAGCAAGACUCUGUCUCUC
rnacentral:SRP_RNA from 1 species